CGCGGCCUAUCAGCUUGUUGGGGGGGUAACGGCCUCCCAAGGCGAUGACGGGUAGCUGGUCUGAGAGGAUGGCCAGCCACAUUGGGACUGAGAGACGGCCCAGACUCCUACGGGAGGCAGCAGUGGGGAAUAUUGCGCAGUGGGCGAAAGCCUGACGCAGCGACGCCGCGUGGAGGAUGAGGCCCUUCGGGGUGUAAACUCCUGUUGCCCGGGACGAAUGGCGGACAUGGGUCCGUGUGACGGUACCAGGUGAGGAAGCACCGGCUAACUCUGUGCCAGCAGCCGCGGUAAUACAGAGGGUGCGAGCGUUGUCCGGAAUCACUGGGCGUAAAGGGCGCGUAGGUGGCAGGUCACGCGUGCCGUGAAAGCCCGGGGCUCAACCCCGGGUCGGCGGUGCGAACGGGCCAGCUGGAGCGUACGAGAGGCAGGCGGAAUUCCGGGUGUAGCGGUGGAAUGCGUAGAGAUCCGGAAGAACACCGGUGGCGAAGGCGGCCUGCUGGCGUACGGCUGACACUGAGGCGCGACAGCGUGGGGAGCAAACAGGAUUAGAUACCCUGGUAGUCCACGCCGUAAACGAUGGGCACUAGGUGCAUGGGGGAGCGACCCCCUGUGUGCCGGCGCUAACGCAUUAAGUGCCCCGCCUGGGGAGUACG
rnacentral:rRNA from 1 species